GAUUAUGGCUCAGGAUGAACGCUGGCGGCGUGCCUAAUACAUGCAAGUGAAACGGGUAUCUUCGGAUACCAGUCGCGGACGGGUGAGUAAUACAUAGGCAACCUGCCUUUAGUGAGGGGGGAUAACCGAGGGAAACUUUGGCUAAUACCGCAUGAAGACUCUAAGGCAUCUUAGAGGGAUAAAAGUGGAAACAACGCAUGAAGAUGGGCUUAUGGCGCAUUAGCUAGUUGGUGAGAUAGAAGCCCACCAAGGUAAUGAUGCGUAGCCGACCUGAGAGGGUGAACGGCCACAUUGGGACUGAGACACGGCCCAAACUCCUACGGGAGGCAGCAGUAGGGAAUUUUCGGCAAUGGGGGGAACCCUGACCGAGCAACGCCGCGUGAAAAGGAAGAAGGUUUUCGGAUUGUAAACUUCUGUUAUAAGGGAAGAACGGAUUGGAUAGGGAAUGAUCUGAUAGUGACGGUACCUUAUUAGAAAGCCACGGCUAACUACGUGCCAGCCGCAGC
rnacentral:rRNA from 1 species